GCCCCCGUAGCGCAAUGGUAGCGCGUAAGACUGUAUGUGAACACUAAUGAUUACCCUCAACACUCCAUAACUAACGCAAUAACAGUCUACUUGCAAAGUGAUCUUAAGGUUGCGAGUUCGAGCCUCGCCGGGGGCU